rnacentral:lncRNA from 1 species
CUCAAAUUUUCCAUUAUACAAAAAGAAUCACUUUUUACGAUAUACUAUUUUAAAAUAUAGUCCCGCUACACGAACAGGGAUUGAGAACAGGAUUAAGUUCCAGACUGAUGUGGCAACAUUUGAAAAAAAAUAAUAAUAAAUUGCUUAUUGUUCGCACGUGAGGCACCAUUGGUUUUCCAUUUCCAUUUCCCCCAAAUAUUACCCCUUCCAUCUUCACCCAUUUCAACGCUCAAUCGGAGAUGACGUCGUGACUCCGGCAGCACUUCCACCGGCGAUUUCGCCACACCUCGGUGGAAGGUUUAGUCGUCGCUCCAACAGCUCAUUCGUGAAAGGUUUCGCCAACACACACAUGAAGAUCUCUGACCGUCGACGAACAUCAAACCACAUCUAAGAAUCUUGUUUUCUUUAGGGUUGUGUUCAAUGCAGUUGAAUUUUGGGUGCAAUACUUGAGAAGUGGGGUCUUUUUGAGUUUGUUGGCUGUUGAAUAUCUCUGAACAUUUAUUGAUUUGUACGCUUAUUUGCUUGAACUGAUAUGCUAGAGUGAAGUAUGUUUAUCUUCACACAGUAAGACAAGAUGGUAUGCAGUGGGCAUAAAGGAGGUUCACAUUUACAAGUGAGGAGGCUCCCAAGAACAUCAGUGUGCUUGUUUAUUUGGUGAAAACUUAAAAGAGGCAUAUUCAAAGAGAGUCAAACUUCACCAGUUUAAUAUUAGAAUGGAAGAUUGCUCUUUGUUAAUAGUCUACAGCUUUAAGAGUAUGGUUUUGAGAUAACAUCUCUAACUGUAAAAAUGAUGAUAAUUUCCAAAAAUAAGAACUCAAUUAGUUCCAAUAGUACAUGGCUAAAACACGAACCCAAUGCACAGACUCAUUUACAAAAAUUUCUACAAGAUUCAUUUUCAAACAAUAGCAUCCAAACAACUAUAAAAGUUUAGAAUACUAAGAACCGUGCAUUCCCAGUUAUACAACAGAAUCACCAUGUUUAGCCAGAGGUUGAGAUCGAAGCUGCCUUAAUGUUGGCAGUGACGGUGAAACGCCGUCAAGUGUGGUUCGAAAGUCGACGAUUAAACUUGCACAAUCGACAAAGGAAUUCGGCGGCGAAAAGACUAGCAUCAAGGUUGGAAUUUCAGUAACCUAGCAGGAAGAGCAGCUAUCGAGAUCGGAUGUCCAGUCGCUUUGCCGUUUCAAGGAUUUGAGCAGGGAGGUUUCACCUUGGAGAUGUUGGAGAAUUGGAGGAAAAGUAUUUUAGUAUUUGUUGAAUUAUUUGUCCAGCUUUUUUCCACACACG